CUCACAAAAAGUUUGAGUUUUUUUCACAUCUCCACUAAUGGCACUGAAAGACGAAAGGCAAAUGCCAAAUAGGGAGACCGAGAGCAGUGUGUGUGGGUAUGCUGGGCAGGGGGCUGCUUGGGCCUUAUCAGUGACAUUCCUGACAAGACUAGGGCUCCCCUGCCUGCGAGCUGGGCCUCUGGGACAGCCAUGUGGAUCAUGGAUGGGGAAGGGUUUUGGAGCCAGCCAGACCUGGGUGUGAAUUCUAGCUCCACAGACCAGUAAACCUUGGAAAAUCACUUAUCCUCUCUGUUGUCCCAGUUUUCCCACUUGUGAUAAACAUAACAACAUUAACAGCUAGGAAAAUAGAAUUCAUUUUCCAUGAAUCUGACAUACAUUAUCUCACCUAAUCCUUGCAAGCAAAUCCAGGAAGAGAGACAAGAGUUUAAUCUACAGGUGAGGAUUAUCUUUAGGACUAAAUGAAAUGAUACAGAUUAAAUGCUUAAUACCUAGAAGAUGCCCAACUGAUUUUGGUGCCCAGAACACCACAUCCCAUCUCCAUGUUGAGCUCCUUGCAUCUUCCCAUGGUCCUGGUCCAGCACCCAAUACACCAGGAAUACACAAUAUUUACUAAGCUGGAACACUGGCCCAAAGCCCAGGAGACAUGUCAGUGGUGAUCCCAACUCUUGAAUUCCUCACACUGAAAAACCGGUGAGGAGAGGAGGCCAGAAAGGUUUACUAUUUCCAAGUUAUUUACUCAACAAGUAUCUACUGAAUAUACCAGCUGCCAGACAUCCUGCCAGGUCAGGGGAUAUGGCAGGAGCCUCUUAAACAUGUGAUUAAAGAUGGACGGACGCAGACGGAACACAGCUGCAUGGGAAGGGGCAUGCUGACUGGGAUCUGGCAGAGGACAGACUCGGGGUCAAACGCAAGCUCUGCAACUCACCAGCUCCAUGACUGUGGGUGCACUGUUGAGACACUCAUGGAUUAGACUUGCAGCAACUGUACAGCCGAGUGUUGCACCUCACGGGAAAGCUGAGAUAACGUCUCAAGCACUCAGAACAGUGCCUGGCACGUGAUAAGCAUUCUCUACAUGUUAACUACUGUAAUGAGCACAAUGCCUGGCACACAGUGAGUACACUGACUGCCCAUCACUAUUACUGUUAUUCCAGAAGUUAAACCUGCUUACAGGCCUUAAGCUGGACAGGCGACACCUCCAGAGCAUUUUCUGGGUCCCAGGACCUGCUUCAGGAUUCCCUGAGUGGAGAGACCUCUGGCUGUCACUGUCACCACAUAUCCAGGAGCCACACGAGCCCACAACCACCAGCAGCUGCAGGGGCUGAACUCUUACCUGAGCGGCCGGGAAGCGAUGUUCCUUGUCCAUCUGCGCUGCAACGGGAACCAGCUCCCUCUCUGCAAAGUCCCGGCACGUUUGACGCAGCAUCUGGGAUGAUUUCCCCUCCAGCAGAUACAUGGCAAUGUCUAGAGACAUUUUUGGUUGUUGCACACAACUGAACAGUGGAAUGCUACUGGUACAGAAUGGAUGGGGACCAGGAAGACUGCUGAACAUGCCACAAUGUACAGGGCAGGCCCCACAACAAAGAAUACCAGCCCAAAACAUCUGCAGUGCCGCUGGUGAGAAACCCACACUAACUGAAUGCCUCCUGUGCUUGCUAAACACUUUGCAUACAACCAUCCCCCUCAAAGUCAGUGUGACACCAAUAAAAAGGGGCCAACUGAGUUUGGCAGGGCUGCAAGUCUUGCCCAAGGUCACGGAUGCUGAGUCUGGGUUCAAUCCAGGGCUGGCUCCGGAGGAAGGGCGCCCCGAACCUCCGCUGCGGGAGGAAGGAGGGGAGGCGACGCGGCCAAGCGGUGAGAACUGGGCUGGGCGUGUGGGUCAGAGUAGGAGCUGAGGCCGCGCAGGCGCGAUGAGCGGCCGAACUGGGGCAAAGGCCGCGCGCAUUGCCGGCGGUGGGGAGGGCCGCCCGUCCGCCCGCGGCGGGGAGAACCAGGCCUGGGGGGGCCCACGGCCGCUGUGC